GAUGAACGCUAGCGGGAGGCUUAAUACAUGCAAGUCGAGCGAUAAGAUUGGUGCUUGCACUGAUUGGACAGCGGCGCACGGGUGAGUAACGCGUACAGAAUCUACCUUAUACAGGAGGAUAGCCCCGGGAAACUGGGAUUAAUACUCCAUAGUAUCUAAAUCAGGCAUCUGGUUAAGAUUAAAGCUCCGGCGGUAUAAGAUGACUGUGCGUACUAUUAGAUAGUUGGUGAGGUAACGGCUCACCAAGUCGAUGAUAGUUAGGGGGCGUGAGAGCGUGAUCCCCCACACGGGUACUGAGACACGGACCCGACUCCUACGGGAGGCAGCAGUAAGGAAUAUUGGACAAUGGAGGCAACUCUGAUCCAGCCAUCCCGCGUGCAGGAUGACGGCGCUACGCGUUGUAAACUGCUUUUGUAUUAGAUGAAACACAGGGAUUUAUCCUUGUCUGACGUUAUAAUAAGAAUAAGCACCGGCUAACUCCG
rnacentral:rRNA from 1 species